UACGGAGGGUUAGCGUGUUCGGAAGUUACUGGCGUAAAGGCGGUGCGCAGGCGGUUUGUUAAGCGAGAUGUGAAAGCCCCUGGGCUCAACCUAGGAAUAGCAUUUCGAACUGGCGAACUAGAGUCUUAUAGAGGGGGGUAGAAUUCCAGGUGUAGCGGUGAAAUGCGUAGAGAUCUGGAGGAAUACCGGUGGCGAAGGCGGCCCCCCUGGACAAAGACUGACGCUCAGGCACGAAAGCGUGGGGAGCAAACAGGAUUAGAUACCCCUGUAGU
rnacentral:rRNA from 1 species